rnacentral:rRNA from 1 species
GUACGGGAGGCAGCAGUCGAGAAUUUUUCUCAAUGGGCGAAAGCCUGAAGGAGCGACGCCGCGUGGGGGAUGAAUGGCUUCGGCCCGUAAACCCCUGUCAUUUGCGAACAAAUUGGUUCAAUUAACACCUGAACCAUUGAUAGUAGCGGAAGAGGAAGGGACGGCUAACUCUGUGCCAGCAGCCGCGGUAAUACAGAGGUCCCAAGCGUUGUUCGGAUUCACUGGGCGUAAAGGGUGCGUAGGCGGUCGGGUAAGUCUGAUGUGAAAUCCCGCAGCUCAACUGCGGAACGGCAUUGGAUACUAUUCGGCUCGAGGAGUGGAGGGGAGACUGGAAUUCUCGGUGUAGCAGUGAAAUGCGUAGAUAUCGAGAGGAACACCUGUGGCGAAGGCGAGUCUCUGGACACUUCCUGACGCUGAGGCACGAAAGCCAGGGGAGCAAACGGGAUUAGAUACCCUGGUAGG